rnacentral:rRNA from 1 species
AACAAUUGGAAACGGUUGCUAAGACUGGAUAGGAAACAAAAAGGCAUCUUUUUGUUUUUAAAAGACCUUCUUAUGAAGGUAUGCUUAAAGAGGGGCUUGCGCCACAUUAAUUAGUUGGAAGGGUAAAAGCCUACCAAGACGAUGAUGUGUAGCUGGACUGAGAGGUUGAACAGCCACAUUGGGACUGAGACACGGCCCAAACUCCUACGGGAGGCAGCAGUAGGGAAUUUUCGGCAAUGGAGGAAACUCUGACCGAGCAACGCCGCGUGAACGAUGAAGUAUUUCGGUAUGUAAAGUUCUUUUAUUGAAGAAGAAAAAGUAGUGGAAAAACUAUAUUGACGUUAUUCAAUGAAUAAGCCCCGGCUAACUAUGUGCCAGCAGCCGCGGUAAGACAUAGGGGGCGAGCGUUAUCCGGAAUUAUUGGGCGUAAAGGGUGCGUAGGCUGUUAGAUAAGUCUAUAAUUUAAUUUCAGUGCUUAACGCUGUCUUGUUAUAGAAACUGUCUUGACUAGAGUGAGAUAGAGGCAAGCGGAAUUCCAUGUGUAGCGGUAAAAUGUGUAAAUAUAUGGAGGAACACCAGAAGCGUAGGCGGCUUGCUGGGUCUUUACUGACGCUGAGGCACGAAAGCGUGGGUAGCAAACAGGAUUAGAUACCCCUGGUAGUCCACGCCGUAAACGAUGAGUACUAAGUGUCGGGGUAAAACUCGGUACUGAAGUUAACACAUUAAGUACUCCGCCUGAGUAGUACGUACGCAAGUAUGAAACUUAAAGGAAUUGACGGGACUCCGCACAAGCGGUGGAUCAUGUUGUUUAAUUCGAAGAUACACGAAAAAUCUUACCAGGUCUUGACAUACUCUGCAAAGCUAUAGAGAUAUAGUGGAGGUUAUCAGGGAUACAGGUGGUGCAUGGUUGUCGUCAGUUCGUGUCGUGAGAUGUUAGGUUAAGUCCUAAAACGAGCGCAACCCUUGUCGUUAAUUGCCAGCACGUAAUGGUGGGGACUUUAGCGAGACUGCCAAUUAAACAUUGGAGGAAGGUGAGGAUUACGUCAAAUCAUCA